UACGUAGGGUGCGAGCGUUGUCCGGAAUUAUUGGGCGUAAAGAGCUCGUAGGCGGUGUGUCGCGUCGGUCGUGAAAACUUGGGGCUUAACUCUGAGCUUGCGGUCGAUACGGGCAUCACUGGAGUUCGGCAGGGGAGACUGGAAUUCCUGGUGUAGCGGUGAAAUGCGCAGAUAUCAGGAAGAACACCCGUGGCGAAGGCGGCUCUCUGGUACGUGACUGACGCUGAGACGCGAAGGCGUGGGGAGCGAACAGG
rnacentral:rRNA from 1 species